GACCAAAGAGACCUCGGCGGCUUCCCUCAAUGGUCUAAAGGCGUGGGGACUCCUCUAUGAAAAAAGAAGAAAAGUAGCAUUAAUUGUUAACGUCAGCAGUGAUGAGAAGGGGAAAAAAGAAGAGGGAUGAGAAUCAACGCUGGUGGUACUAACAAUCAAUGCUACUCUUCUUCUUAUCUCAUGGAGGAGUCUUCAUGGUUUUGGACCAUUGAGGAAAGCCGUCGAAGCCUCU
rnacentral:lncRNA from 1 species